GUGGGGAAUAUUGGACAAUGGACCAAAAGUCUGAUCCAGCAAUUCUGUGUGCACGAUGACGUUUUUCGGAAUGUAAAGUGCUUUCAGUCGGGAAGAAGCAAGUGACGGUACCGACAGAAGAAGCGACGGCUAAAUACGUGCCAGCAGCCGCGGUAAUACGUAUGUCGCAAGCGUUAUCCGGAUUUAUUGGGCGUAAAGCGCGUCUAGGCGGCAAGGAAAGUCUGAUGUGAAAAUGCGGGGCUCAACUCCGUAUUGCGUUGGAAACUGCCUUACUAGAGUACUGGAGAGGUAGGCGGAACUACAAGUGUAGAGGUGAAAUUCGUAGAUAUUUGUAGGAAUGCCGAUGGGGAAGCCAGCCUACUGGACAGAUACUGACGCUAAAGCGCGAAAGCGUGGGUAGCAAACAGGA
rnacentral:rRNA from 1 species